rnacentral:rRNA from 1 species
AACGCGAAGAACCUUACCAAGUCUUGACAUCCUUUGACCACCCUAGAGAUAGGGCUUUCCCUUCGGGGACAAAGUGACAGGUGGUGCAUGGUUGUCGUCAGCUCGUGUCGUGAGAUGUUGGGUUAAGUCCCGCAACGAGCGCAACCCCUAUUAUUAGUUGCCAGCAUUUAGUUGGGCACUCUAAUGAGACUGCCGGUGACAAACCGGAGGAAGGUGGGGAUGACGUCAAAUCAGCAUGCCCCUUAUGACUUGGGCUACACACGUGCUACAAUGGAUGGUACAACGAGUCGCAAACCCGCGAGGGCAAGCAAAUCUCUUAAAGCCAUUCUCAGUUCGGAUUGCAGGCUGCAACUCGCCUGCAUGAAGCCGGAAUCGCUAGUAAUCGUGGAUCAGCACGCCACGGUGAAUACGUUCCCGGGUCUUGUACACACCG